rnacentral:rRNA from 1 species
GACGGGCAGCUUCCCGGAAACGAAAGUUUUUCGGUUCCGGGGGAAGUAUGGUUGCAAAGCUGAAACUUAAAAAAAUUGACGGAAGGGCACCACCAGGAGUGGAGCCUGCGGCUUAAUUUGACUCAACACGGGAAAACUCWCCUGGCCCGGACACCGUGAGGAUUGACAGAUUGARAGCUCUUUCWUGAUUCGGKGGUUGGUGGUGCAUGGCCGUUCUUAGUUGGUGGAGUGAUUUGUCUGGUUUAUUCCGAUAACGAGCGAGACUCUGGCCUACUAAAUAGUUACUGAAUAGUUUUGUUCAGACAACUUCUUAGAGGGACAAGCGGUGUUCAGCCGCAUGAAGUUGAGCAAUAACAGGUCUGUGAUGCCCUUARAUGUCCAGGGCUGCACSCGCGCUACACUGGAGGAAUCASCGUGCUGUAACCAUUGCCGAAAGGUACUGGUAACCCCUUGAAAAUCCUCCGUGAUCGGGAUCGGGAAUUGCAAUUAUUUCCCUUGAACGAGGAAUUCCUAGUAAGUGUGAGUCAUCAGCUCACGUUGAUUACGUCCCUGCCCUUUGUACACACCGCCCGUCGCUGCCCGGGACUGAGCCKUUUCKASAAAARCGGGGACUGCUGUUUCGAUACCUUUCGAGGUGGAGAUUCUUUGGUGGAAACCKCUUUAAU